AUGCCGCGUGUGUGAAGAAGGCCUGAGGGUUGUAAAGCACUUUCAGUGGGGAGGAGGAUAGCAUGGUUAAGAGCUGAGCUAUUGGACGUUACCUACAGAAGAAGCACCGGCUAACUCCGUGCCAGCAGCCGCGGUAAUACGGAGGGUGCGAGCGUUAAUCGGAAUUACUGGGCGUAAAGGGUGCGUAGGUGGUUAAAUAAGUUAGAUGUAAAAACCCUGGGCUUAACCUAGGACUGAGAUUUAAUACUGUUUAACUAGAGUAUGGGAGAGGGUAGUGGAAUUUCCGGUGUAGCGGUGAAAUGCGUAGAGAUCGGAAGGAACACCAGUGGCGAAGGCGGCUACCUGGCCUAAUACUGACACUGAGGCACGAAAGCGUGGGGAGCAAACAGGAUUAGAUACCCUGGUAGUCCACGCUGUAAACGAUGUCAACUAGCCGUG
rnacentral:rRNA from 1 species